CUUACCCUCACUGGCUCUGUAUAAAAUAUUUCAGGGUUACUUUUCUUAUCAUCUCUGUAACCUGCUGAUUCGGAAAGUUUGUAGCACAGAAAAGUGUUGAUUUAAUUAGAAAUUUUGUAAAUAGUAAUUAGGGGAGGGUAUAAUAAUAUUCAUCACCUGCCUGUUAAUAUUCAUUGUAUGGGAGUUAACAUACCAAAUAAGGUUUUAGGGAAAGUAAUGAUAAACAUGUGAAUUAACAUACUAAAAUAGAUAAAACGGUGUAAUUGUUGCCACUUGGCAAUGUGUUGGGGUCUGAAGUUAAUGUGCGUGAGCCAUAAAGCAGUUCUGUUUACCCCAUCCGUGCCUGGGUCGCCUGUUUCUUCUCUAACAAGUACAAAUGAUCUUGUCAUGAUACCAAGGAAUGGUUAGAUGGGCCAGCUCCAUCAUGCAUCUCACAGAACUCGCAGUGCAAGUCAGCACUCCUCCUAGACAUUGAAGAGGAGUCCCUCACAAGCCCUAGAAAGAAACUUAUGGGACCUCUUCCUCAGAGGACUCUAGGAAGGAGAGAACACUCUCUUCCUGCUGGAGGGAGCACCAGAUCUUCAGUCAGAAAGCACAUUUCAGAUAGACUCUAAAAGGAGAACAUAAGGCAGACAAUUUGAAGAGACUUCCAGUGGUAAAGUGGGCCUCCUGGCUUGUUCUAAGAGCUGCUAUUUCAGAUGUAAGUCUCUCACCAUCUAAGGCCUCUUCUUAAACUACUUACAUAUAGAGCACCUUUCCUUAAUGAGCUCCUUGCCACUAAGAGGUGACUACUGGGAAUACCUAAUCAACACGACAAUGUUUAAACCCAGGCACCUAUCUAUCCUAACAACUGAAACUAAAUUGAAAAGUCCUACUAAGUUACAAUAACUAGCAAUUAACUAUAUAUAAUAAAUUCCCAUCAAAACUGAGGGGAAAAAUGAGGUAAAUCUCUACACAGAAUGAAUCAACUCUAGUUGUAAGUGGUGAGAAGAAACUGAGGAGGAUUGGGGUGUGCUAUUCUUAAAUAAUGCAAUGAGGGGCUAACUACAGAGCACAAACGCCUUACUUAGAUGUGCAGAAAUAUUUGCAGAACCCAUAAGUGGCACAUAUCUGCAACCACUCAAGGACCACCUACAUUGAUAUAGUGAUGUCAUAAAUCAAGAUUCCCAUCACCAGUUCAGACAGUAUAAUUUGUAAAUGAUCUUUAACAAAGUGUAUAAUUAGAAAUGAAAGUAACUAUCUGAAGAUUUAUUUAAAAUGAUCGAUGUGAUUUACCUGAGAUCAGAAGUCAGUGGCAGAGAAAGGACACUCAGAGUGCUAGCUAAGAUUCAGGACAACUCCAGUUACAUGUUUUACUUCAUUACAGACUUCUUGAAUAACAGUGGACAAGUCACUUAGUCUCUAGGUUUCAACUCCCCAUAUGUUAAAUUUGGAGACCGUGAUACCUCCGUACCUCACACAGGAAUGCUGUGAGGAUAAACACAUUGAAUGCCUUCACGUUUAGAUAUUACAGUAAUGGUGGUCCACGUAAGUGCUUAUAUCUAGAUAAGACUAGAGCCAGAUCUUAACUCCAGAUUCUGUGUUCUAUUCACUAAAACAUUUUGCCUCCCUUGCAAGAGUGUCUUCAAGCCUCAGGGCAUAUCUACAAUAAAAACUUCAGUAGACCUAUGUUAGGUGAACUUAUAGCCACUGCAGUAAUUACUGUGGUGGUGUUUGUCCACACUACCCUCCUUCUGUCAGUGAUGGGCAUCCUCACCAGGAGCGCUUCCACCGACUUAAGAAGAACAGUGUGGGGGACUGAGAGUUCAGGCUCUCAGCUCCGUGAGCAGCUCCUCACCAAAAGCUCAGCUACCAAUCUCCCCAGCUCUCAAGUCCCCACACUCCCAGGCUUUUGGCUCCCACCAUGAGCCCAAGGGCGGGGCGGGGAGAGGGGAGAGAGGGAGGUAGAGUCUGGCAGCCAGCAGAGAGUUGAGCAGGGGCAGUCAGGUUCUUGGUGAGGAGCCAAGGAGUCCGUGCAGCUCAAAUCCCGGGAUGCAGCUGGGCUCUAGUUGGAGCUGCCACACCUCCCCAGGGUGACAGGCCAGCAGCCUAUGAAGAAGGCGAGAGCCCUCCGAAUGUCCAGGGUAUGCAGAGUGGCGUCCUUCUGUGAUGCAUGCGGUUUCGG